rnacentral:rRNA from 1 species
GCGGAGGGAUCAUUACCGAGCGAGGGCCUCCGGGUCCGACCUCCAACCCUUUGUGAACACAUCCCGUUGCUUCGGGGGCGACCCUGCCGGGCGCCCCCGGAGGACCAUCAAAAACGCUGCAUCUCUGCGUCGGAGUUUACGAGUAAAUCGAAACAAAACUUUCAACAACGGAUCUCUUGGUUCAGGCAUCGAUGAAGAACGCAGCGAAAUGCGAUAAGUAAUGUGAAUUGCAGAAUUCAGUGAAUCAUCGAAUCUUUGAACGCACAUUGCGCCCCCUGGUAUUCCGGGGGGCAUGCCCGUUCGAGCGUCAUUACACCACUCCAGCCUCGCUGGGUAUUGGGCGUCUUCGCGGGGGAGCAAUCCCCCGCGCGCCUCAAAGUCUCCGGCUGAGCGGUCUGUCUCCCAGCGUUGUGGCAUCACGUCUCGCCGCGGAGUUUUCGAGCCCUUACGGCCGUUAAAUCACACCUCAGGUUGACCUCGGAUCGGGUAGGGAUACCCGCUG